rnacentral:rRNA from 1 species
AACGAACGCUGGCGGCGGGCUUAACACAUGCAAGUCGAGCGGAAAGGCCCUGCUUAUGUGCGGAGGUCGAGUGGCGAACGGGGGAGUAACACGUGAGUAAGGUGCACUUGACUUUGGGAUAACGUCAGGAAACUGGGGCUAAUACCGGAUAGGAGCUACUGCUGCAUGAUGAGGGUUGGAAAGUUUCGGCGGUUGGGGAUGGACUCGCGGCCUAUCCGCUUGUUGGUGGGGUAGUGGCUUACCAGGGCUUUGAAGGGUAGCAGGCCUGAGAGGGUGACCGGCCACGUUGGGACUGAGAUGCGGCCCAGACUCCUACGGGACGCAGCGGUGGGGUAGAGUGCACAAGGGGCGGAAGCCAGAUGCAGCAACGCCGCGUGCGGUAUGACGGCCAUCGGGUUGUAAACCGCUUUCGCCUGUGAUGAAGCGUGAGUGACGGUAAUGGGUAAAGAAGCACCGGCUAACUACGUG